UACCAGCACCCCGAGUGGUCGGGCCGAUUAUUGGGCCUAAAGCAUCCGUAGCCGGUCUUGCAAGUCUUCCGUUAAAUCCAGCUGCUUAACAGAUGGGCUGCGGAAGAUACUACAAGACUAGGAGGUGGGAGAGGCAAGCGGUACUCAGUGGGUAGGGGUAAAAUCCUCUGAUCCAUUGAAGACCACCAGUGGCGAAGGCGGCUUGCCAGAACGCGCUCGACGGUGAGGGAUGAAAGCUGGGGGAGCAAACCGG
rnacentral:rRNA from 1 species